AAAGAAAUACGAUUUAUCCUUUGAGGAUUUUCAAGGAUGCUUAUGAAAGAAGACACAGAUUUGGCGAUGAGAAUCGUAUAAAUACCUAUUAACCGUCAACUUUGGUAGAGAACGUAUCGAUUGACCCACAAAGGGGAUCACGAUCAUGCGAACAGAAAUUAUAAAGAUUGCCAUUUAUUAAAGAAUACUAGAACGUAACAAGUUUCCAAGAACACUUACUGUUCACCCUCUUGAGAUAUGAAAGAAGAAAGAAGACCGAUCUCACAAUUGGCUAGAUAAAAAGAAACGAUCAUACACACACUUUUCAACGGCACGAGAAAGUGCUGAAUGUGAACCACUUCUGCACCAUUGACAACCCUUUUUCUAUAUAGCUACACACGUUAUAUAAUCAACUACGUCUGAUUAUAAAUCGAAAAAUAAAUCUCACAUUCGAGACACAUUAAGAUUCGUUUCUGGAAACAUUCUUAUUGAUGAAAAUGAAAUUGCAUUUGAAUCAUGCAGUACGAAUCACAAUUUUCUAUUCACAAUUCAGUUUUUAAUUCUUUACAUUGAUCCAUAACAUUAGUCCAUGUUCAUCGUGGAAAUCGAACUUUAUAACUCUGUAAGUGCUGUUAUUAAAAACCUCUUGAACUAUUUUGUUUUUCCAUGCCUGUAGUAUUUCUUUUGAUUUAUCACCAGUUUCUAAUUCUCAUCUUCUUUUAUUUUUUUACGACUAACAAUCUUUUACCAAUUUUCACGCAUAUCUUUCGCCACUCUCAAAAAACUACAAUUACAAUUCGCGUCAAGUUCAAAGUUACGAUUUAUUCGAUUUUAAUUCGAUACAAGCAAACAAUACCGAUUUCUUCACUUCGCACGUAAUUAGCCUCGAACCAUCCUAUCAUAAAUUUAAAAAAUCUGAUUUAUCACGUCCACCCCCAAAUCAACCGAAAUCACUCAAAAUCAACUUUACUCACGCACCAACCUCAUUCGACGCCGAAACGAUCUUACGUUUAGACUUCAACUCACUCUUUCUACGAUGCACCAUCUCGAACGGUGAAAGAACACGGCCGAGAAAGGAAUUUUCUUCCCCCUUGCGAGGACUUACGUUGUUUUCCUUUUUUUUUUUUUUUUUUGUAGGGGAUGAAAAA